rnacentral:sRNA from 1 species
GAACAAGAAGGGGAUCUGGCUGAAACAUUUGAGUCUUCAUCUAGGAUCAGGGCUCACUGCACUCUUCAGGCUACUUAAGCAGGUGGUUCCUUCCUUCCUCAUUGCUUCAAGUGUGUCCCUCCAGUGCUUGGACAUGAAGGUUGGCCUUCUCUGUGGAAGGGGGCCACUUUUCAGCCAAUGGUAACUGGGCAUCUUCCCAAUGGAAUAUCUAAACAAGCCUUGAGGUCUCAAACUCCUU